rnacentral:ncRNA from 1 species
CGGCCAGCUUUCCGGUGGGCUCCCCGGACGAGGUGCGUCGUACCCGGCUUGCGACAAGACGGCGCGUG